rnacentral:rRNA from 1 species
CGAACGCUGGCGGCGUGCCUAAUACAUGCAAGUCGAACGCGUCUUGGUCAAUGAUUUUAGGUGCUUGCACUUGACUGAUUUGACAUUAAGACGAGUGGCGAACUGGUGAGUAACACGUGGGUAACCUGCCCUUGAAGUAGAGGAUAACACUUGGAAACAGGUGCUAAUACUGCAUAACAACGAAAACCGCCUGGUUUUCGUUUGAAAGAUGGCUUCGGCUAUCGCUUUAGGAUGGACCCGCGGCGUAUUAGCUAGUUGGUGAGGUAACGGCUCACCAAGGCAAUGAUACGUAGCCGACCUGAGAGGGUAAUCGGCCACAUUGGGACUGAGACACGGCCCAAACUCCUACGGGAGGCAGCAGUAGGGAAUCUUCCACAAUGGACGAAAGUCUGAUGGAGCAACGCCGCGUGAGUGAUGAAGGGUUUCGGCUCGUAAAACUCUGUUGUUGGAGAAGAACGGGUGUCAGAGUAACUGUUGACAUCGUGACGGUAUCCAACCAGAAAGCCACGGCUAACUACGUGCCAGCAGCCGCGGUAAUACGUAGGUGGCAAGCGUUGUCCGGAUUUAUUGGGCGUAAAGCGAGCGCAGGCGGUUUUUUAGGUCUGAUGUGAAAGCCUUCGGCUUAACCGGAGAAGUGCAUCGGAAACCGGGAGACUUGAGUGCAGAAGAGGACAGUGGAACUCCAUGUGUAGCGGUGAAAUGCGUAGAUAUAUGGAAGAACACCAGUGGCGAAGGCGGCUGUCUGGUCUGCAACUGACGCUGAGGCUCGAAAGCAUGGGUAGCGAACAGGAUUAGAUACCCUGGUAGUCC